rnacentral:rRNA from 1 species
AGUGAACGCUGGCGGUAGGCCUAACACAUGCAAGUCGAACGGCAGCACAGUAAGAGCUUGCCUUUACGGGUGGCGAGUGGCGGACGGGUGAGGAAUACAUCGGAAUCUACUUUUUCGUGGGGGAUAACGUAGGGAAACUUACGCUAAUACCGCAUACGACCUACGGGUGAAAGCAGGGGAUCUUCGGACUUUGCGCGAUUGAAUGAGCCGAUGUCGGAUUAGCUAGUUGGCGGGGUAAAGGCCCACCAAGGCGACGUUCCGUAGCUGGUCUGAGAGGAUGAUCAGCCACACUGGAACUGAGACACGGUCCAGACUCCUACGGGAGGCAGCAGUGGGGAAUAUUGGACAAUGGGCGCAAGCCUGAUCCAGCCAUGCCGCGUGGGUGAAGAAGGCCUUCGGGUUGUAAAGCCCUUUUGUUGGGAAAGAAAAGCAGCAGGUUAAUACCCCGCUGUUCUGACGGUACCCAAAAAAUAAGCACCGGCUAACUUCGU